UAGGGAAUCUUCGGCAAUGGACGAAAGUCUGACCGAGCAACGCCGCGUGAGUGAAGAAGGUCUUCGGAUCGUAAAACUCUGUUGUUAGAGAAGAACAAGGACGUUAGUAACUGAACGUCCCCUGACGGUAUCUAACCAGAAAGCCACGGCUAACUACGUGCCAGCAGCCGCGGUAAUACGUAGGUGGCAAGCGUUGUCCGGAUUUAUUGGGCGUAAAGCGAGCGCAGGCGGUUUCUUAAGUCUGAUGUGAAAGCCCCCGGCUCAACCGGGGAGGGUCAUUGGAAACUGGAAGACUUGAGUGCGGAAGAGGAGAGUGGAAUUCCAUGUGUAGCGGUGAAAUGCGUAGAUAUAUGGAGGAACACCAGUGGCGAAGGCGGCUCUCUGGUCUGUAACUGACGCUGAGGCUCGAAAGCGUGGGGAGCAAACAGG
rnacentral:rRNA from 1 species